UCCACUGCACACCACUGGCGCGUAACGACCAUCGGUCCACCUAGAAGGCAACCACUGCGGGCUCCGCGGAGUCCUGAGAGGAUUGAAAAUGCUCGUUCCCAGUGGGAACGCGCGAGCCGGUCGGUUUCUCCUCCUCCUGGGCGCCCCAGACUCGAGGAGCGCUGAACAAAAUUACAUUUUAACUACACGGGAUCAGCUUAGAAGUCCCUCUGGAGAUGUUUGAUGCACCAGAUGCUCCUGCCGCCCCGGCCCGUCACUCCAGCUCGAUGUCGCCAGCAUACAGGGUGAUGAGCAGGAUGGUGGCAAAGCCGGUCAGCAUGCCCGCAUUCUGGAUCAUGAAGAAGGUGUGACACCCUCGCGAGGGAGAGCGGGAAAAGCCCUGUGGGGACAGAUGGCAGGAUACGGGCCUCACCCAGGAAAGCCUCUACUCAGGCGAGACCAUGCCAUUGUCACCGUCUACAGGUAAGACCACACGAUCACUGGGAACCAUUUCCCACUUAGUGAAAUGACUCAAGAAGAGGCAUUUGUUCAGCCAGAAGUGUCUGAAUGGACAGCAGAAAGGCCUUGCACACUGGAAGGAGGCCACGCUUCAUCAUGCACAGCCCAGAUGGGCCGCUGUAAUGUUUAAGGUAAACCAGAUAAAACUGAAAUGUCUUACCAUGUCUGCCAGAGAAAUAUAAAGGAACAUGCCUCCAGCGAGCGCAAAUAUAAUGUUGGGAGCGAAAUUGUUGCCCACCAGGAUGCCGAAAGCCAGGCCGACGUAGCAGGAGCAGGCAGACAGGAAGUUGAAGAGCAGGGCCUGCCGGGUGCUCAUGCCCGCAUUGAGCAGGAUCACGAAGUCCCCUGCAAGAAGAGUUGUGUCAAGUGAGCUGCUGGGCUCCCGGGAUGAGCUAUGGCCUAGCCACUGUCCCUCCAGGUGCCCGCGCAGGGGUUUUACAACCGUGUUGCCUGAGACAUCUCUCCACUGAAGACAUCUCUCCAGCCUCACUAGAGAGCAAGCCUCUCACCUAGCUCGUGAGGAAACUCCUCGCACAGGAUGGCUAUGGAGGUGCUGAGGCCCUGGAGGAGGGACAAGGUACAGGAGGCCCCGAUGGCCAGCCCAUCGAUGAAGUUGUGGAGGGCAUCACUGAGCGUGAUCAUCCAGGCGAUGGUGCCGAUGUCCGACAGCUUGGGCCCAUUCAGGCAGGUGCACGAGCUGGACUCCUUCUUCCCGUCCUGCAGGACAGCACAAACCAGGUGACAGGGUGACCACCAUUUCCUGGAGGCUAAGACACGGGAGGGAGUGGGGAGUGCAGGAAAGGCACAGAGAGAGGACCUGCCCCUCGGGGGAUGGGAGCGUGGUCUGGGAGCAGCCUGCAACCAGCAGUCUCUUGGGCACGCAUCACAGAAUAUGAAACCAUCAAAAGGGAAGCACGUCCCACAGUAUUCCCAGCCGCA